GCCCCUGGCCGAUCCAGUGCGACAGUGCCGCGGCCUGCGGUAUAGGAGUCCCAGCGGGAGCUGGCCUGACAGGUCCUAUGGACCUUGGGGCCAAGCAGGGGCGACCUGGGGGAGCAUGCGCUGCCCUUGACAUCCUUGGCCACCCAGUCUUAGUCGGUUCGGUUCUGAGCCUGGAUCUCUUAGAAGGGCUGGGCAAUAAUGGAGUGGCAGGGAGCUCUGGGGCAGGCGCAGGUUCCGCCUCUAAAUCCUCUACACCUGACACUCAGAGUGUGUGUCUGGAAGGUUGGCUUCCAGGUCUUACUAACUGUGUCCAAUAAGUCCUGCAAUUGUUCCAAUAUAAGAGGGACUGGUUGUGGAUGUUCAUCGAGGGCCCCCGGAGGGCGGCACAGCGGCAGAAUCACCUUCCUGAGCCUGGUAUGAUGCAGGCAAGGCAAGGGUUUGUGGCGGGAGCCGAGGGCCCGUUUGGGAUGUGAUAAGAGUAAGCUGC
rnacentral:lncRNA from 1 species